AGUAUCAGUAAUUCCCAUGUCUAUGUAAGCUGACAUAACACUAUUUCAGAAUUCAUCAUAGCAUAUAUGCAGAUCAAGUAUCAAAAAUUAGAAAUAUAUCCAUAAUGUUUUUCAUUAGAAAAAAUAAUUACUAUGAUCAUAUUUUGGUACACGAAGUGAAGUGAUAUGAUUAGAGCUCAAUAAGUUUAACCAUCUUCAGUAACUGAUUAAGUAACUUUAUUAUUGUAAUUAUAUGGUAAUGCUGAGAUAUAAAUGGGUCCAUAUUCUGUCAUUUGUCCAAGGCUUGUUUGUCCGAGUCUGUGACUGACUGCAGCUGAUAUGAUAGCAGCAAGCAAGUGAGGUCAAGUUGUCCGCAGUCUGUCAGUCAUCAGGUCAGCCGGCUUCUCUGAUCUGCAGAGGUGCUCCACAUCCCUUAACGCUGCCAGCCAAGUUAAAUAUUCAGCACCUGAGUAUUGUGAGACAUGUGGCGAGGUCUCCUGCAGCUUGUUACUAACAUGCCGAGGAAACUGAACACCUACAGUAGAAAGAUGAUUGGAACCAUGUUUACUUCCUUGAUGGAAAGAUGACGGCCUGUUCAAAUCCACAGACGUGAAAACGAAACUGUUAGAAAGGGAAAAGGAUCAUCCAAGCCAUCGUCAAGGAAAAGUGUGACAUAUGUUUGCACAACCAUAUCACGCCACGGCCUGACGUCCUAUCAAGAAAAGAAGCCUGACCUCAAUGUCCUAUCAAGGAAAAAGCCUGACAUCAUAAAUGAAAUAAAUAAAAA